AAUAUGUGCCUGCCCAUUGCUACUGGAAUCCUCCACUCUCUUCACUGUAUGAUUUGGAAAGACCGUUCUGUAAAGUACAUACAUAAUCAAAAGUGGUGCAGAUAGGACUACACAAUCUUUUCAAGGAAAUAUUAUUGUCAAGCUGCUUAUUUCUGUUCUAUCAUUUGAUUAAUGUCCGUCUACUAUUACAAACCCAAAAAUUAUUAAAGAAUAAGAAGUUUUGUUUUAGAUGGAAGAGAAGAGACAUUUUAAAACACCUGCUUUUAUUUUCUUAAGAUCAGAAAACUAAAGCUCAGAGAUUAAGUUCAGCCAGGAACACGGUGGAGAUAGCAGAGCUGGGUAUACUUGGAAGGACUUCUUUUAAAAGUGUUGGAUUUGAAUCCAGGCUGUUGAUUCUGUGGUGUUGGUUCCAACACUUAAGGACAUUAGAAGUAUUAUACUUACGCGUCCUGAUGAUCACCUGAGAAAAUCAUAAGGUAAAGAAAAAGUUCCAUUAUAAAAGAAAAAUGCCCUAGUGGGAAUAUACGUUAGAAACCAAGCCUGUAAGGAUUUUCUAACUAUUUAAACAUCUAAAAUCUACAAAAAAUUCAAUAAAUCAUACUGAUCUACAUGAAAGUUUCCAGAAAGUCUUUUUUUUUUCCCCUUAAAGACAGGGUCUCACUCUGUUACUCAUGGUGGAGUGCAGUGGUACAAU
rnacentral:lncRNA from 1 species